UCUAAUCGUAGGUGUUGGGCUCUUUGUGUCUGCGUGGUGUGGGCUUUUGUGUCUGUGUGGUGUGGGCUUUUGUAGCCAGUUAGGGAUCAUAAUAACGGUCUUCUGAGGAGACAGAAUGACAUUCCCCCAAGAAAACAGAAUUUGGGAACAUACAAAGACUGCCUAUUUGAAAGCGAGGAAAACAUGUACGUGUAUCUUGUGAAUUGUUUCAUAAUUUAAAAGUAGCUCUCAUGCUAGAAAAGGUUGGAGACCCCUGAUUUCCUUUGACCUAUAAUUUAAUCUACAGGUUAGUAUAGACCUAUAAUCCUCUAUAAUAUAAUCUACAGGUUAGUAUAGACCUAAUCCUCUAUAAUAUAAUCUACAGGUUAGUAUAGACCUAAUCCUCUAUAAUAUAAUCUACAGGUUAGUAUAGACCUAAUCCUCUAUAAUAUAAUCUACAGGUUAGUAUAGACCUAAUCCUCUAUAAUAUAAUCUAAAGGUUAGUAUAGACCUAAUCCUCUAUAAUAUAAUCUACAGGUUAGUAUAGACCUAAUCCUCUAUAAUAUAAUCUACAGGUUAGUAUAGACCUAAUCCUCUAUAAUAUAAUCUACAGGUUAGUAUAGACCUAAUCCUCUAUAAUAUAAUCUACAGGUUAGUAUAGACCUAAUCCUCUAUAAUAUAAUCUACAGGUUAGUAUAGACCUAAUCCUCUAUAAUAUAAUCUACAGGUUAGUAUAGACCUAAUCCUCUAUAAUAUAAUCUAAAGGUUAGUAUAGACCUAAUCCUCUAUAAUAUAAUCUACAGGUUAGUAUAGACCUAAUCCUCUAUAAUAUAAUCUACAGGUUAGUAUAGACCUAAUCCUCUAUAAUAUAAUCUACAGGUUAGUAUAGACCUAAUCCUCUAUAAUAUAAUCUAAAGGUUAGUAUAGACCUAAUCCUCUAUAAUAUAAUCUAAGGUUAGUAUAGACCUAAUCCUCUAUAAUAUAAUCUACAGGUUAGUAUAGACCUAAUCCUCUAUAAUAUAAUCUAAAGGUUAGUAUAGACCUAAUCCUCUAUAAUAUAAUCUAAAGGUUAGUAUAGACCUAAUCCUCUAUAAUAUAAUCUAAAGGUUAGUAUAGACCUAAUCCUCUAUAAUAUAAUCUACAGGUUAGUAUAGACCUAAUCCUCUAUAAUAUAAUCUACAGGUUAGUAUAGACCUACUCCUCUAUAAUAUAAUCUAAAGGUUAGUAUAGACCUAAUCCUCUAUAAUAUAAUCUAAAGGUUAGUAUAGGCCUAAUGCUCUAUAAUUUAAUCUAAAGGUCAGUAUAGACCUAAUCCUCUUUCUGUAUGUUUGAUUCUAGUUAGAAGACAUGACGACAGAAUGCUCUUUGUCUAUAGUAGUAAUAAUGCUGUAAUGUUGUAUGGUUCUGA